AUUGAACGCUGGCGGCGUGCUUAACACAUGCAAGUCGAACGCGAAAGGGACUUCGGUCCUGAGUAAAGUGGCGCACGGGUGAGUAACACGUGGAUAAUCUACCCAGUGUUCCGGGAUAACACUUCGAAAGGAGUGCUAAUACCGGAUAAGCCCACGGGAACUUCGGUUCUUGCGGGAAAAGGUGGGGACCUUCGGGCCUACUGUCACUGGAUGAGUCCGCGGCCCAUUAGCUAGUUGGUGAGGUAAUGGCUCACCAAGGCAACGAUGGGUAGCUGGUCUGAGAGGAUGAUCAGCCAAACUGGAACUGAGACACGGUCCAGACUCCGACGCGAGGCAGCAGUGGGGAAUUUUGCGCAAUGGGCGAAAGCCUGACGCAGCAACGCCGCGUGAGUGAUGAAGGCCCUCGGGUCGUAAAGCUCUGUCAGAGGGGAAGAACCGCCGUACGGAUAAUAACCGUGCGGUCUGACGGUACCCUCAAAGGAAGCACCGGCUAACUCCGUGCCAGCCGCCGCGGUAA
rnacentral:rRNA from 1 species